AGAACACUUGCUGUAUUCCAGGUAUCAUGCUGGGCUCUGAGGAUAUACAGGGUCAUCGUAAAGAACAAAAGAAGAGCACAUGUAUGGCUACAUUGCAUGCAACACGGACAACUGGCUCGGUGGAGAAUUAAUCCUGUAUGUUUUACAGUUCAGCUAAAACCAAAGUGGAUCUUUUGUUUUCCUUGCCCUAAAACUGAAGG